ACUACCAGUCACGCAGGGGAGCUGGGGAGGUGAACUAGAGCCAGGUCAGGGGCUCAAGCUGGCGCAGGAGCUGUGGGAGGCAACAAAGCUGAUCAGCACGUCUUAUACUUGACUUGAUGGCACUGCACUGAACGGUCCUGAUCAAGAUUGUUAUGGAGUCCAGGAAGAGGAUAAAUGAGGCCAUCUGUAGCCAGGAGAGAAGGCAGGAGAUGCUGCAACAAGGUAGAAGAAGGAUAACAGCUAUAGAGUAACAUUAUGAAUAGCUAUAACACUAAAAAAUUAGCAUAAACAGGAUAUAAAAGAACACGCACGCUAAGUAACCCUCAGGAAGGACAGAACAGAAGAGUCAUUGCUGUUCCAUUCCCUUGGAUCUCUCUUAUUCCCUGUGUGAACGAAGACCAGAUCCUGACUGAGAGUCCUCCUCCAAUUCUCUUUCUGACAGCGUAAAUCGGGGAUGCCUGACUUUGCUGAAUCAACUUGACGUGUUUCUAAGUGAGAGACUAUCAAUAAGUUACUAACCAAGUGGGAACUCUUAGUUGAUUUCUCUCUAUCUGUUUUUAUUAUCACUGUCAAUUUUAACUUGUAUUGUUAUGUUGU